GCUUAAAAUGCUUUCGUUGGUGCUCGCGCCGCGGUUCACGCGGCGCAGUUCAACGGGAAGCAGGAGUCGAAGCCCCACACCGGGCCGAGCCAGCCUGCGCUGCCCCCGCAACGGUCAAGCAGCCGGCAUCCCGAUCAAGGAUGCCACCCUCGUCAAUCAGCCACUGGGUGCCCUGAAACAGGCACCUGGGAAGGCGGCGAGGGCAGUGCUGUCAGCCCGGAUACCGGCCAACGAGGCGGCUGCCGCA
rnacentral:ncRNA from 1 species